AACGAACGCUGGCGGCAGGCCUAACACAUGCAAGUCGAACGCUCCAGCAAUGGAGAGUGGCAGACGGGUGAGUAACGCGUGGGAACCUUCCCUAUGGUUCGGAAUAGCCCAGGGAAACUUGGGGUAAUACCGGAUAAGCCCUUCGGGGGAAAGAUUUAUCGCCAUUGGAUGGGCCCGCGUCGGCUUAGCUAGUUGGUGGGGUAACGGCUCACCAAGGCGACGAUCCGUAGCUGGUCUGAGAGGAUGAUCAGCCACACUGGGACUGAGACACGGCCCAGACUCAUACGGGAGGCAGAAGUGGGGAAUAUUGGACAAUGGGCGCAAGCCUGAUCCAGCCAUGCCGCGGGAGUGACGAAGGCCUUAGGGUUGUAAAGCUCUUUUGGCGGGGAAGAUAAUGACGGUACCCGCAGAAUAAGCUCCGGCUAACUUCGUGCCAGCAGCCGCAGUAAUAC
rnacentral:rRNA from 1 species